ACCGGUUCGGUCUAGGUACAGAUUUCGGCUGGGAAAAAAAUCUGAAUUAAGUGUACAAGUUGGACUUUACUCGAUUUGGUGUGAAUUUUUCCGGAUGCUAUAGAAGUUUUCCGACGUGAUUCGUCGUACUACUACCAUCGGUGGGCGUCGGUAGUGCCUAUAGUUUUUCCACGUUUUAUAUGAAGGGCGGUUCGGGCUCGGUGUCAAAUCUGAUUGAAAUGUGAGGUGGCGGCUGUUAUUGAUGAAGUAUUUUAUCGCUUGUUCGUCGGAUGCUUGGUUUCGGUGAACGUGGAAAAAGUUCAACAAUGCGGGAGUAAAAAAGGGUACCGACGGUGACAUGCUGAGGAAGAAUUGAAUUUGUGUUGUUUGGGUUGAUUGAAUAAAUUGAAUCGCUUCCUGAUCCGAGGAUAUAAUGUUUGUUCUCCGUCAAGGGAUGAAAAGCUCGGUGGCAGGAGUUAGCGCGCUACAAAGGAUUAUUUCAGGUCAGCGUAUAUUUUUUUUGAAUGGAACAUCGGCAUAGCUUGUUAAUUUGAAAAUCCACUUAAUACAAAUACUGAGAGGAAGUGAAAAAUUGAUCCCAUAGAAAAAAAUAUUGGAAAUAAACAGAUGCUAGGGCGGUUGGAACAUAAAAUAAAAAAUGUUCCCUAUCGAAAUGAAUUGGUGCGAUGGAAAAUCAUUCACUGCUCGAUUGAUUUCAGUGGUAAAGUUUACUAGAUGAUGCGAAGUAUAAUCCUAUUGCUUGUACCGUUGGUGUAGAUUUUUCAACGAUUGUUUAAUGAAUUGAAAGGGAUUUAUGGGUGACGCGACUCUGUUCAACGUUUAACGUUUUGUUCUGUGAUGCGAAAAUGCCGUAACAGCGAAUAAGUGGAUACGCCAGGCUCUGUACAUCGAAAUAUUUGACGAUAAGAUGACAUCACCCAGUAACGCAUGUCACAGCACGAAACUUCCGCGUCGUAACAUAAUCGUUAAUAUCAACCCGGACAGUGUGUAUUGAAGCACCAAUAAAAUAGGAAAAUUAAAAUAAAAGCAGUUAAUUAUAUCCAAAAAUAAACCUGUCAACGUAUACGAUAGCCAUCGUUUCCCACGUCCAGCCCCGCUAAAACAUGGACAUCGUACUGUCCCGGCUGAACUUCAGCCUGGACAAUGUGACGCUAACUACUAGCACCAUCCGGCAGGGGCUGAUCGAACAGUAUAGCAACAACCGCAAGGUGGACGAUCCGGCCUAUCACAUUCUGAUAGUGAUGUACAGCAUUCUAAUCGUCUUCGGCGCUACCGGAAACAGUUUGGUGGUGAUGGCGGUCGCCCGGAAGCCGCAAAUGCGAACGGCACGCAACAUGUUCAUCGUUAAUCUGGCGGUUUCGGAUCUGCUCCUCUGCCUGGUGACGAUGCCACUGACGCUGGUGGAAAUUCUCACCAAGUACUGGCCGAUGGGACGGUUUCCGUUUCUGUGCAAAUCGAUUGGAACCCUGCAGGCUACCAGCAUUUUCGUGUCGACAAUUUCCAUCACGGCCAUUGCGCUGGACCGGUACCAAGUUAUCGUCUACCCGACACGCGACAACCUCCAGCUGAUGGGUGCCAUUGUGAUACUAACCGGCAUCUGGAUCUUCUCGCUGAUCCUGGCAUCACCGAUGUUCAUCACCAGACGACUAAUACACUACGAUGUGAACCUGUCGAGCCUUGGGAUUGAUUACAUCUCGUACUGCAUCGAAGAUUGGCCAAUGGCACACGGUCGGAUAUACUAUUCCGUGUUUACGUUGUGUGUCCAGUAUAUGCUGCCCAUCCUGAUAGUGUCGGUAGCAUAUCUACGAAUUUAUCUUAAGUUGAAACAUCGCCUCGUCGUGACAACCACGACCGUCAGUUCCAACGCCAGCACGAAGGAUGGGCUGCCGGUUCGGGAACGGGAGCGUGGCCGCCGGAUGCAACGGACCAACUAUCUACUGAUAAGUAUAGCCUUAAUCUUCGGAAUCUCGUGGCUUCCGUUGAAUCUGUUCAACCUGUUUGCCGAUCUGUACCUGGACGGCAUCACCCAGGAGAUCAUGGUCGCGUACGCGAUCUGCCACAUGAUGGGCAUGAGUUCGGCCUGCUCCAAUCCGCUACUGUACGGCUGGCUGAACGAUAACUUUCGCAAGGAAUUUAACGAACUUCUAUGCCGAAAGGACACAAGCACGGUCUCGGCGAACGGUGGAACCGGUAAAUCCGUCUCGCGAAGGAUUCGAACUACGGCCGCCGCUCCGGAAGUAACGCAGGUGGGCGAAAGGUGUCGAACCGCUAGUGACCAAACCGAGCUCACCGAGCUAAUGCCGUGAGUUCGAGAAUCGUUUUGUUUCAAUAGUGCUGCUGAUCAUAUUACUAAAACAACUAAACAACGUGCAUUCUGCUCGAGGUGUGCGACUACUUCCAUGAUUGUUCAUACUGAGGAUAAUAGACUAACAACACAACACAGUAAAUUUCAAGAUACUUCAUUCACACACGCACACUUGAACCCGGUUUGGGAACAGCGUUUGACCGACCCGGAACAUCAGGACCGAACGAAGCUUUGUGCCGACGAGGAUAGUGUCUGAACCGGACUCGUUAGCACCCCUAUCCAAAUAGAUGGAGCUUGACAGCAGCCUAUAUGUAUAUAGCUACAGGCCUCAUUGUUUUCAAUGCUAGCGAUAAUUUGCGAUUAAUUUAUGCACGUGAUGUUUCCGAAUUUUGUGGAAACAAGAGCUGCCAUUAGACGAAUUACGAUUAUGGAAAUCGGUACUGCACGACGGAAUUUAUUCAAUAUUUAAUCAUAAUUAUCAUUUCAUCGUUGUUGGUUUUCAUGGCAGCGAUGCACACAACGUAGCUUCCAUGAAAGCGGGCUGGUCUGUGAACGGUGCCACUGAAGUUUGUCGUGAAACAAAAGAUGUAAUUUAAAUUCACUAUGAGCUUUUUUGCCGCUUCUUUUGGUUUUCUUUUGAUUAUGAAAAUAAGCUGCCAGAGGCGAAGAGUUCCAGAUCCAGCUAGAAAUAAGAUAUGAGCUUUUGAGCAUUGCGCCUGGAUGUAGGUAGUCGACAGCGGGUUCAACGAAGCUUCUUUAAUUAAUGAUUAAAUGAAUCGUUAAUAUGUUUCAUAUUACCUUCUGCAUAGGAUGAACUAUAGGUUGCUAGGCUAGGCAAAUUGUACUCUGUACGUUUUCAGGGACAAACGAAGUUUAACCGACGGUAGGAACGAACUGAGGGUUAUCUACUUUGAUUCAUUCGCACAUUGCUUAACUUGAACGACAUACAGACUUAGCUUAUUGUGCGAGUCUUGUUUUAAUUAAAUGAAAUUCAUGUUUCCAAGAAAAAAAAAUCAUUUCCAAUACUCAAUUGAUCCAUUUAUGUCCGCCACUGUAUGUAAACAUGCCGUGCAGUCAGAGAGUACAGGGAGAGAGGCUAAUAGUGUGAGGUCAAAAAUAGCUUAUUGAGCAGAUCAAUCGAUGACAAUAAAUAAAAAUUACUCAUGCCAGUCGAAGUAGAUGAGUACAGUCGUGAUUCGCUGGUUGGGCCACACCUCUGUCCAACUAACGAAUUUAAUUCGUUAGUUGGACCGACUGACAGAUGUCAAAAACUCUCCAAAGGAGAUGUUAGAAGUGUAAUUGAAUCUAUUCACAUCUCUAAUAAUUGUCAGAUUGAUUGUCAAAGUAAAUUCGACAUAAGAUUUUGACAUUCAGAUGCUUUUUAGUUGGACAAUGCUCCAACUAGCGGAGGUCCAACUAAAAAGCGGUCCAAUUACAAAGUGUCCAACCAGCGAAUCACGACUGUAUUCAACAAAAUAGAAACGUCAAAAUUUAAUCAAAUCGUGGUUGUGUUCUGGAGAAUAUUUCUUUAAAAAAACUUCUUAUGCAUUUUCAAGCGGAUGCUAAAAUGCUACCCAGGUAAAUAAUAAGUAUGCUAAAUGCUUCCUAACAUCUACUUGAUAAGCAUUUAAGUCAAUUUAAAUUCUAUUUAACAGUUACAUUACUGAUGUGAAAUUAAAAUGCAUUUUUACCUAUGCAUUCAUAAUGUUGCCUUUUGGCGAGAAGUUUUUAAACAGUUUUUUGAACGCCUAUUAACAACAGUUAUGCAUAACGAAUGCUAAUAUGCUGCAAGAGCCAUCUGAAGUCCAAAUUAUAUACUACUUUACUGCAUACACUAAUGCUCAUUGUUUAUCUGGGUAGUGUUGAAUUCAUAUUAAAUGGAGGGUUGCUGUUUUGCCGUCUCCUAUUCUCUCUGCUUGCAGUGAGUUUUCUCUCUUUUUGAUUCGUGUUUUGCACGAUUAUCAUGCAUGAAACGUCGUUUUGGCGUAAUACAUGUUUUGUAUUAGCCAUUUAGUUCGGGUGUAUAAUUAACUACCUUCUGCAUUGGACUGAAGGUGUUUACGAUUUUGAAUCGAUCAUUUUAGUCGAGCUUAUUUACAAAUUUACGAUCGAAUUCUUUUGGACUGUUUUUCAAUACAACAAAUUUCUAUGGUUAUUUUAACAACUGGGUGAGUGGACAUAAUUUGCCUAACCUAGAGCAAACACACAUCUAUGAAUACGAUAACAAGGAGGCUUUGUUGAAAAAAGUGGAAAAGUUACACUGUUUCACGUUCAAUUCACAGUUUGAGCCCAACAAUGAAUUUUGUUUUCAAUCGAUUGCAACGCGAUGAGCCCAUUGUUAAAACUUGACAAAUUCCAAUUUAUUCGGCAUAAAUUCAUUGUUCCUGUAUGCAUUGACGAAACAGUAACUUUUUUCGCUUACAACUAGCAAAUAAAAAAUGUUCGCUUAGCUUUGUUAUAUACUAGGAUAAACGAUACAAAUGAUUGAAUGUGAUGGUAACAAAGUGUAGCAUAAUAUAGAUGUUGAAAUCAUUUCGGCAGGUCCUAAAUAAAGUAAGAGGUUUCUAAACUAAUUCGUAAGACAGUCCUGUACAGUUUCCAGCAAGAUGACGCUAGCCGGUAAGUGCAACUUUCUCCCACGAUUGGUAAUAUCAAUGAAAAAAGGUUUUGUCACGAAUCGAGAGUUAUGCGUCAUUU